AAAGCUCAAGCUCCUAACCUGCACUUGAAGAGACUCAAGCAAAUAUCUUUGUCGGAUUUAAUGAAAUCAAUUAUCUUAGGAUAACUCCUAAGAGAUGGCAAGGUUCUCCGUUCGUUAUAGCCAAAUGAAGGAAAAUUACUUUCGGUGGAUGGAAAGUAGGCUCACUGCAUGAAAUCUUGGCACUAAGUUCCGUGCAGGGGCAAGCCGUCGAUGGCUUUGGCCAGAACAAGUGGCUACUGAUGACUUCGACAAAGAAUAUGUUAAGCUUUUAGCCCGAGACUUAGACACUUUUCGAAAGGAAGGUUUAACGGGCCUAUUCGAAAAAAUCGAAAGUACGGUAAUUCAAGCCAAGAGUCUAACUGCCGCCUUUGGUCUGGUAUUGAGGAACUUAAGAGACUGCUUUGAAUGAUCUUACCACAUGUCCCGUGCGAGCAUGCCCAGGAAAGCCAUAUUAUUGGUUUACAAAGAUCCUGAAAUUCAACAACGCUGGAUCUCUGAAAUGAAGAAAGCUUUGCCUCUUUUUUCGAAGUGCAUUAACCAAUAGUUAGCCAAUAAAAAAGAAAGCAACUGCAAAGAUUGGAGUUCAGAGAAUGAUAUAGUCCAUUUUUGAAGAUAAUCAUCACGUAGUGAUCGUGAUGGGAUUAUUUUCCAUCAUUGACCUCGAGAAGCAGCUAAGCCACUGAACAAGGGCUCAAUGCUGGCGAAAAACUAUCUUCAAUAUGACCCUGGUAGUCUAUGCCGUAAACGAUGAGUGUUCGUCCUUGGUCUGCGCUGUAUGCAAAAUGGCUGAUCAGGGGCCCCGCUAACGCGUUAAACACUCCGCCUGGGGAGUACGGCCGCAAGGCUGAAACUCAAAGGAAUUGACGGGGGCCUGCACAAGCGGUGGAGCAUGUGGUUUAAUUCGAUACAACGCGCAAAACCUUACCAGCCCUUGACAUAUGAAUAAGUUUGCUUGUCCUUAAUGGGAUGGUACGAAAAUUUAUACAGGUGCUGCAUGGCUGUCGUCAGCUCGUGUCGUGAGAUGUUGGGUUAAGUCCUAUAACGAGCGCAACCCUCGUUUUGUGUUGCUAAGACAUGCGUUUUGGAUUAAAGGAUCGAUUAUUGAGCACUUAAAAGUAACGAAGACCACAACAUUAAAAAAAGGAUAUCACAACACCGUGUGGCUACGACUACACAGUUGUCGAAGGGUACUUCGACAGGCACAGCUCUCAUAGCGUGGCACACAUAACAAUGUGGCACCCAGUCUUUGUAAAAAUAAUUGACAAUCCAUGCCAUGUACACUGCACUCACAAGAAACUGCCAGUGAUAUACUGGAGGAAGGUGGGGAUGACGUCAAGUCCGCAUGGCCCUUAUGGGCUGGGCUACACACGUGCUACAAUGGCAAUUACAAUAGGAAGCAAGGCUUUAAGGCAGAGCGAAUCCAGAAAGAUGGCCUCAGUUCGGAUUGUUCUCUGCAACUCGAGAACAUGAAGUUGGAAUCGCUAGUAAUCGCGGAUCAGCAUGCCGCGGUGAAUAUGUACUCAGGCCCUGUACACACCGCCCGUCACACCAUGGGAAUUGGCUUCGCCCGAAGCAUCAGACCAAGGAUCACCCAAUUAUUCAGUGUUCUAUGCGUUGUUGAGUGUGGUCUACCAGAGUAAUUGGUGGUUUAAUGUGGGAUACCAAGGUGGGGCCUUUGACUGAGGUGAAGUCGUAACAA
rnacentral:rRNA from 1 species